UACGUAGGGGGCUAGCGUUGUCCGGAAUCAUUGGGCGUAAAGCGCGCGUAGGCGGCCCGGUAAGUCCGCUGUGAAAGUCAAUGGCUCAACCUUUGAAUGUCAGCGGAUACUGCCGGGCUAGAGUCCGGAAGAGGCGAGUGGAACUCCUGGUGUAGCGGUGGAAUGCGCAGAUAUCAGGAAGAACACCAACAGCGAAGGCAGCUCGCUGGGACGGAACUGACGCUAAGGCGCGAAAGCGUGGGGAGCGAACAGG
rnacentral:rRNA from 1 species